CUCUCAGCACAGCGUCUGAAUUACCAAGCAGCUCCCAGCCGCAGGCAACCUUAAGCAAGCUAUAGUGAUUUCAGCUCUCAAUGAUUAUCAGCUCUUUGAGAUUUCAGCUCUUUAGCUUGCUGGUGCCACAGCAGCAGAUGCAGGGAGAGAGAAGAGAAAAGCUGUAUAAGAUUCUGCAGGAAUUGUUUAUUGGUGUCCCCCACAAAGGUUCUCAGUGACAGCUUCUUCUGCCAAACCAGGAAGAAGUAGGGGGUUUUAUACCCUACAGGGGUUUUGGAAAUUGUCCAAUAGUAAGGAUCAGGGGAAAGUGACCUAUAGGCUUACAGAGAUAUAAACAGGGUCUGAAAGUGGAAGAGAGGGGCUUCUAAGGCCCAGUCAUGAUGACUUGGCAUUUCCUACCUCAGGCUUCUGGCCUCCAAGGAGGCCUUGCAGACCCUGGUCCUGCUACAGGCGCCCAGCACUGGGAGAAUGGAUUAUAGAAUAAUAAUAGAUAGUGCUAAAGGCAAUCUCACCCCUGGGGAGCUGCAGAUGUACUAAUUACCAAGAAUUAGGAACAGGCCUGCCCUUAAUAGGCCACAGGUAUAUCCAGUGGGGCUGAGUGUUAUAAAAGGGUGGGCUAGCAAGUUGGGAGAGGGUUGGAGUCAGUUGGCUGUGCUGAGGAGGAAGGAGCUAGCUGGCUAUGAGGUGGUGCCUGUGAGAAAUCACAGAGAAAGUAGGCAAGUUUUACAGUAAGACAACAACACACCUGCAUUUUCACAACAGGAAGACAGGGCAGAGGAGAAAAAAUUGUGUUACUGCACAGAGGGACAUCAGAUUGCAAUAGGACAACUGUGAACUAACCAACUGCUCUGGAAUGCAGCCUCACCACCCACUCACAGUGAGAGUCAGAAAGGAGGCUCCAAGCACACCUUGUACCUCAUUGCAGACCUUGCUGCCAUUUGAAGUGUACCAAAUAAACAAAUGCGCACAAAUCAGGAGAGUUUCCCAUGUUGCUAUGUAUACAGAUUUGCUGCAGGCAGGACUCAUCCAACUAAAAACUUGCAAGAAAACCUUCUUGUGAAAUUUCUGAAAUUUCUUAACAAUUUAAGCUGAAAAUCAAGGUGUGAAAUUGUGAAGGUGAAAACAGCAACAAAAUUGUUCAGAGCCUUUUACUCCUCGAUGAGUCUGUGAUGAGCACUGUGACCAGUCGGUCCAGGCUCUCGUGAGCCCUCACCUGGAGUGCUAUGUCCUGCUCUGGAGUUCUCAGCAUAACAAGGUCCUGGAUCUGUUGGAGCAAGUCCAGAUGAGGUCACAAAGAUACUCAGAAGGCUUGAGCACAUCUCCUACGAAGACAGGCUGAGAGAAUUGGGAUUGUUCAGACUGGAGAAUAAAAGGCUUCUGGAAGACUUUAUGGGGUACCUUUCAGUACCUACAGGGGAUUCCAAUGAGCUGGAGAGAGACUUUUUAGAAGGACGUGUGGCACUAGGAUAAGGGGAAAUGGCUUCAAACUGACAGAGACCAGAUUUACAUCAGAUACAAGAAAGAAAUCCUUAAUUAUGGGGUCGAUCAGACAUUGGCACAGGCUGCCCAGAGAAGUUUUGAAUUCCCCAUUCCUGUCAGUGUUCAAGGCCAGUUGGAUGGGGCUUUGAACAACCUGGCCUAGUGGAAGGUGUCCCUGCCCACGGCAGGCGAUGGAACUUGAUGGUCUUCACUGUGCCUUUAAAGCAAAUCUAUUCUACAGUUUUAUGGUUCUACAUUCAAAGUGUUUUAUUAAGGUAGAACCACCUAUGGUAGUUGCUAUAAUAACUUUAAUUCCUUUAUUCUAUCAGGCUGAUAAAGUUACCAAAGGUAGGUGUUUUUAUUUGAGAAUAAAAAAACAACUCCUUUUUAAAACAAAAAAAUAUAAUUAUUGUUACUAUAUUAUGAUUGAUCUAACGACAAUUAUAUGGGAAUUAGCUUUGCCCAGAAAACAAAAGCUCUAUCUGUGGCAGUCAAGUCUAUACAUUAUAACACAUGCAAUGUCUUUCAUACAAUGAGUUGUGCAAGGAUGCGUUUCUCAUCACUACAUCCAUAAAAUGAAAAUACUUUCAUUAAAUAGCUUUGAGCUCUAGCAGCUCCAGAUAAAAAUUCAGUACUCUUAGAACAAAGUUGGGUUUUUUCUCUUUAUAGUCUCAUUAUCUGGUCCAUAACUUCUAGUAUGCAUAGCACUAUCGGACUCCAUUACAAGAAGCAUUGACAUGGAGCAGUAGAAUAUUUUAAUAAUUAACAUGCAGAAGAAUAUGAUGUUAGAUUUUUGUGCCUCUCUAAAUGCUCACUAAAUCUUGAUCUUCUUAUUUGCUUGAGUAAAUAAAUUGUAAUUGUUAUGAGAGUUCAGACAGCUAAGAUGACUUCUUUUUGGUGUAGUAUUCUGUAUCUGCAUAGCAGCUCUCCUUUAAAAGGUGACUGCAUGUGACACGUAAGCAUUGCUUGUAUUUCUGUCUUUCCUUUACCCUUCAGCCACAUCAUCUUGACCUCUAUUUCUUGCUGUCUACUAUGUUACAUCCUAUUAGCAUUAUGGAAGGCCUAAUACUGAUGGAAUUACUAUUGUAGUAUUUAUCAACAGAGAGUAAUACUGAAAUGGGAAUAAUAUCAACAGAGAACAAAGUGAAAUAGGGAAAAUUACUGAAUAUCAGAAAAGGAGACAGGUGAAAGCAUUCUAUAAUUCUGAUAUUAAUGACAUAUUUUUCUGGAGAAAACAAAAUUGAAAUUAUUUUUCUUCACAAUAUUGACUGGUUCCAGUGCUAUCACAACUUAUUUUGUAAUAAAAUACAAGUAAGCAUCUUGAA